rnacentral:rRNA from 1 species
UUCCGGUUGAUCCCGCCGGAGGCUACCGCUAUUGGAGUUCGAUUAAGCCAUGCGAGUCGCGAGUCUUAGGGACUCGGCGUACCGCUCAGUAACACGUGGGUAACCUGCCCUAUGCUGGGGAAUAACCUCGGGAAACUGAGAAUAAUGCCCCAUAGUUCACCACGCCUGGAACGGUGGGUGGAUGAAAGCUCCGGCGGCAUAGGAUGGGCCUGCGGCGUAUCAGGUCGUAGGGGGUGUAAUGUACCCUCUAGCCAUCGACGCGUACGGGUGUUGGGAGACAUAGCCCGGAGAUGGAUUCUGAGACACGAAUCCAGACCCUACGGGGUGCAGCAGGCGCGAAAACUUGGCAAUGCGAGAAAUCGUGACCAGGGAACUCCAAGUGGCUGGGGUAAGACCCAGUCUUUUCUUGACUCUUCAAAGGUCUUGGAAUAAGGGGUGGGUAAGGACGGUGCCAGCCGCCGCGGUAAUACCGGCGCCUCAAGUGGUAGUCGAUUUUAUUGGGCCUAAAACGUCCGUCGCCUGUUUGGUACAUUCGUGGGUAAAUCAACCAGCUCAACUGGUUGAAUUCUGCGAGCACGGCCAGACUUGGGACCGGGAGAGGUAUGGGGUACUCUCAGGGUAGGGGUAAAAUCCUGUCAUCCUGAGAGGACCACCUGUUGCGAAGGCGCCACACUAGAACGGAUCCGACGGUCAGGGACGAAACCUAGGGGCACGAACCGGAUUAGAUACCCGGGUAGUCCUAGGUGUAAACGCUGUGGACUUGAUGUUGGGGGCGCUCCGAGCGCUUUCAGUGUCGAAGCGAAGGUGAUAAGUCCACUGCCUGGGGAGUACGGUCGCAAGGCUGAAACUUAAAGGAAUUGGCGGGGGAGCACUGCAACCUGAGGAUUGUGCGGUUUAAUUGGAUUCAACGCCGGG